AGAGGACCUGGGGCUGCAGGAGCG
rnacentral:piRNA from 1 species